CUGCCCGUGGCCGUGACCGGCGGGCAGGCAAGCAGCAUUCCACAUGUGCUCCCGGGUUUCCCGAUUGGUGUGCUCCGCCGAAGGGGCUGGUCCUGGAAGUCAGCUCCUGUGCCUGUCACAGAUGAUAUUUUUAUGCAAGGAAACAAAACCAGGAUAUCUGAUGGACUGUGUUAUCUUUACAGACAGCUUGGAGCUACAGAUGCAAGGCAAGAAGUUUUAUGCUUGAACUUUGAAACUAAGCUGAAAGGAUUCAGAUGUUUUUAUAUGAGAAUCCAAGCAUUAAUAAUGACUGUGUGAUCAUGGUUUUGGAAAGCUAAGAAUAUGUUUCCUGGCUACAUAUGCAGAUGUAUGUUUCUUAAGAAAAGCAAGAAUGAAUUUUGAUCUCUGAUGGAUGAAACCCAUUGGAAUGGAAACUAACAUCUAUGAAGAAGAACAGGGCUCACCUUAUCUUACAUCUGCCAAGUGCCUGGGAACUCCAAAGGAAGCCAAGUAUGAAGAAUACCAAAGAAAGACAGAAAAUCAGACAAGUCCAUAUGAAUUUCAGAAUUCAUUAUUGGAACCUGAGCUAAGCUUGCUGUCUGUGUCAUCCUUAUUGGACAACAAUGAGACAUCUUUACAACUUGGCAUGGCUGCAGGGCAUGCCAGUGCCACCAACCAGCCUGAGACAAAGCACCUUUGUGGAGAAUUAUCUUGUUCUACAAAGCACACAUCAAAGGAAGAUCCUUUUAACAUUCCCAGGAACACAGAAUGGCCAGUCCUCACAGGAAAAAAUUCAGACAAGAAACCAGAAACAAAUUAUGAGAUCAGAGUUAUAGAACACAAACCAUGUGCUAUCACAUUUUCUGAUUUUGAAUUUUUAUCACAUGAAGCUGACACUAAGCUCCAUAUUUGUGAGGCAGGAGAAGCAGAUGAUUUUUCUUCUGAAGAGGAAGAGAAAGGUAACAGAGGUGAUCAUGACACAUUUACAGAACUGCCACUUUAUGAGGCAUUUUUCAAACGUCUUCAGAGAAGGAAUGUUUCCCAAAGAAAGCAAGCUCAACAUGAAUUUACUAAAUAUCAGCACAUCUGUCAUUUAGAAGACUGCAAUAAUCAUUCUGAGAAGGCAUUGAAGGACCAUGACAAAGAAGAAAAACACAUGGAGCUAGAGUGCCCUGCUCAAGUAGAGACAGGCCUUUAUGGAGAUUAUCAAGAAAAAGGAUCUUGGAAAAAUAGAAGAGGAGACUACCAGUAUCUAAAUUGUUUACCUUACCGAAUGUUGACUGGAGCACGGCCUAAAUCUGACGUAAGUAGCCUCAAAAUUUACUAUGUAUCAUUAAAAUUGUCUAUGCAUUUCUUCAAAAUAAUUUGUUCCACACAUAUCAAAUGUUU
rnacentral:lncRNA from 1 species